AAAGUGUAUUGGUACGCGGGUCUUCGGACCGAGUGGCGCACGGGUGAGUAACACGUAACUGACCUACCCAGAAGUCACGAAUAACUGGCCGAAAGGUCCGCUAAUACGUGAUGUGGUGAUGCACCGUGGUGCAUCACUAAAGAUUUAUCGCUUCUGGAUGGGGUUGCGUUCCAUCAGCUGGUUGGUGGGGUAAAGGCCUACCAAGGCGACGACGGAUAGCCGGCCUGAGAGGGUGGCCGGCCACAGGGGCACUGAGACACGGGUCCCACUCCUACGGGAGGCAGCAGUUAGGAAUCUUCCACAAUGGGCGCAAGCCUGAUGGAGCGACGCCGCGUGAGGGAUGAAGGUUUUCGGAUCGUAAACCUCUGAAUCUGGGACGAAAGAGCCUUUAGGGCAAAUGACGGUACCAAAGAAUUACCACCGGCUAACUCCGGGCCAGCAGCCCCGGUAAACCGGAGGGGAGCGGGGUUCCCGGGAAUCCUGGGGGGAAAAG
rnacentral:rRNA from 1 species